CUGAAAACAAUGACUCAAGUUCAAAAGCUUUUAUUCCAAGGGCAAUGUGAACUACUUUGUACUCCAAGCUUUGUCUCUGUAAGUCUGAGCCGCUUAUGUUCCAAAGCAUCCCUACCAACGCUGAACAGCCGCGCUCAACUGGUGCGGGACCAGCGCUUCUUCAGCUGUUUCCUUGUCAUCAGAGUAGUGGUAAUGUGCUCCUGCCACUCCGCUAUCCCCACAAAUCGAAAAGCCGGGAUUUUAUCGGAUACGGUGCAGUUAUUUCCUCCUGACUCUAUCAGCUACUCAUGGACCCCUCGACCACGCCCUCUCGGACGUCACAAACUACAGGAGCAAGUUUAUGAAGGGCGUGAGACCAGGCUCUCGAGCGAUACGGCAUUGCAGUUCAAGAACCAGCACAGUUCUGC